rnacentral:lncRNA from 10 species
UUUUUAAACAUUGGCUGCAGUUGGAGCUGGCUGGCCCAGAAGUGCAGAAUUCCCAAUGCUUCCCAAGGAGCAUGCAUCACUCUCGGAAAUACCUGGACACAUAGGAGAGGUAUAGGAAAAAUGAGUUGAGUUGUUCUGAUUAAGAAAGGAACUGCAAUUUGGAACUUGAUCAGCAGCUGCAUGCUGACUGCUAGAGGAAGAAGGGUUUGUUUCUGUUUUUGUUUCUUUGUUUUUUUGGGAGGGGACAAAGUGAUUUCUGAAAGAGAAUGAGAGGGCCUAGAAGUAAAAAUGAGGCAGAGGGAAUUGGAGGAGGAAAUGGCCAGUGAUAAAUUCCUCCUAGCAGGAGUUCCCCGCCCAGAUGGGGACUUCAGUGUAGAAUCAUUUACUUUGGGGAUGACACCUCUUGUUAACUGCAGACCUGCAGGAAACAUCUGCUAAACUUGACAGCUGUGAGCUGCUGGUGGUCAUUGAAAGACCAGCAUUAAGUUGACAGGCAGAAAGAAAACACAGUCCCGGGGGAAGAAAGGAAUGAGAUGGGAGUGCUCAGUGUGAACAGGAAAUCAGAGCCAGGGAUGACCAGUAAAAUAUAAGCCCUGGGGGAAUCUAGAAACAUCUUGGAAAGGGCCCAAGGCUUUUCCAUAACAUGUGGACUGGGAGGCUCUCGGGAAGGACCCCAGACUGGUGAACUUGGGAAUAUGCAAGCUGAAGGCAUCUGGGAUACACGAGUGGGUGCACACACGCACAUGCGCACACACGCACAUGCACACUCACACGCACACAUGCACACACUGCAGAUCCCCUAGAGUAGUGGUCCUCAACCUUGGCUGCACAUUUGAAUUGCCUGGGGCUUUAAAAAAUGCCAGAGCCUACCCUCACCCCAAUGCCACCAAACCAAUGACAUCAGAAUCUGUGGGAAUCAGACCCACACGUCAGGUUUUCAAAGCUCCCAGGGCUGAGCAGCAUUGUUCUACAGCCUGACAGCUCCAGCUGCCUGGAGAGCAGAUGCCAUUUACAGUCUCCUGCAACCAAAGACUCGCCUGAACCAUCGUGCCCUUCCAUCACACACCAUACCCAGGCCUUCUCCCUUCCUUUCUCACCACCUCCCCUACCCGCUUCCCAACAGAUCUCCUCCCACAGUCACAAGAUAAGACACAGGCGCCCAGUGGAAUUUAAGCCUGAGAGAAACCACAAAUAAUUUUGUUUAAUAUAAGUAUGAGUUGUGUAAAAUUAGUAGAUGUCAUGCAACAUACUCAUACUAAAAGUUAUUUGUGAUUUCUCUAAAAUUCAAAUUUAACCAGGCAUCCUGUGUUUUUAGUUGCUAAAUCUGACAAUCCUAGAUAGAGACAACUUAAAAACAAAUAGAGAGUGUCCUUCCUCGACAAGGGACAGAGAUCUGGUACCACCACUAGCACUAGACCCAGAGUCAAAGCCCAGGGCUCCUGGGCUGAGGCCCCUGGGAGAAUCAGCAAAGCUUUUCGCCUUCCCCACACGUGCUGUGGGCGCGCAGUACUGCAAGUUAUCACCACCAGAGGGCGCACUCUGAGUAGGCGGGAGGAGCCCGCAGGGACAAGACCCCAAUCCACAGAUGCUUAGAGAGACAGUGAGGGCGCAAUCCCCAAAGGAGCAUUAGUGUUCAACUGGUGGGGUCCAGGGACAUUUCUUCCUCUUCUAAACUAAAUGAUCCCGAAGACACCUGAGAUUCAAUGAGAGAGAAGGGUGAGCCCGGGGUAGAAUGGUAAGACUCAAAACCUGGCAGGUUUCUUUUACAGUGAUUUAUUGCUUUGAUUUUUAAAAAUUGCACAAAUAAAAUAGAC